rnacentral:rRNA from 1 species
UACGUAGGGGGCAAGCGUUGUUCGGAUUCAUUGGGCGUAAAGGGUGCGUAGGUGGCGCUGUAAGUCGGGUGUGAAAUUUCGGAGCUUAACUCCGAAACUGCAUUCGAUACUGCGGUGCUUGAGGACUGGAGAGGAGACUGGAAUUCAUGGUGUAGCAGUGAAAUGCGUAGAGAUCAUGAGGAAGACCAGUGGCGAAGGCGGGGUCUCUGGACAGUUCCUGACACUGAGGCACGAAGGCCAGGGGAGCAAACGGG